UGUGAAUCGUGCACGUCGUGCGUUUUUGCGUCGGUUGCAGGUUAUAAACGUUUUGUUGCUGUUAAUCAGUGCGAAUUGUGGAAAGCGUUUGCUGCCCAGUCAUGCGUGGGUAGGAGGCUCAUUGGUUCGCGAAUUGGGCAAUUUGCGAGCUCAAUUUGGCGGCUAAUUUUCGCCCGCCCGCGCGUUACUCACGCACGGCAGCGGCGACGACGCAAACUAACCAACUAACCACAGAAACCUGGCGGUGGCGUCAUCCGAUCUCGUCACAUCUCAUUACAUGCGGCAUCAAAUGUGCGCGUAGCCAAGCCGAGAAGAUCAAACAAGCCAAACGUCAAAAUGUUUAACAGCGACCUCUUCAGGGACUCUUUGGCACUCUCAGUCGAUGGUCAUUAAAGUUUUGUCACGCCGGCAACCUAAAACCUCUCUUCACCUCACACCACGCCACUCGUGUUCAAUCUCAACCAAAGAAGAACCAACUAAAAUCCCACGUGGACUUUGCAGGCCGUUUUUCCCGGGAAACUUUUCGGUCACCAGCCGCAACAUCGAAAAACUCGAGUGAACUGGAAAGUACUUAAAAUCACUUUUUGUUCCGUCCAGGUAUGUGUGGGCAGACGACAUUCAAGCGAAAGAAGAUGCGCCAACUCGAAAGGUAAAGUUUGUCCGAGUUAGUUUCGAAUGUGAUUAGAGAAAUGUACGACAGGGCGAGAGUGCAGCAUCCGACAAGGUAACUGCUUUUGAAACAGUCCUUCCGUGUCGCUGGAGUUGUGUUAACCACGUUAGCAUUGAUACCGAACGACAUGGUAACACAAUCGGAGGGACAAAAGGUAACAAUGGGUACGUUUUCAACUACAAAUGUUUGACCCUAGGCGCCGUGUUGGAGUUGCAAACUAACACGCUGUGAGAGGUAACAAUAGGCACUACCUAUGAGUUCAUCGCCAGUUGUCGUCAUCAUUGACAUUGUGAACUUUUGAACCUUUGUAAGUAUGACCUUUGUAUUUGUAAGUCAUGUAAAUAUUUUUUUUUCACUGCUUUGUUGUCACUUAUGAAUGAAGUUUAAUCAACAUGUGUGGUAAAAAAGCCAGAGAUAAAGCACUUUGUUAAAGCUGCACGUUCGUGUGCGCGGCGGGCGUGCACGCUCCUUGAAUACGAAAUUUUUCCCUGCCUGGAGACCUGUUUUUGGGAUGAGUACGGUUGGCGCAGUUACAGUAGCAGCUGAAAGAGGCGAGAACCGCAUUAACACCGAGAGAUCGUUUGCUCGAUUAAUAAAGCAUUCAAGCGAGACAGAAACAGCGAGAAACCACGAGGAUCUCCGCGUACGUCCUGCUAAUUGGACGGGGCUCAGUCGAGCGCGAGAAGGAUCCGGGACUUGACUGGAGCUCACAUGAGCCAGGCCCGCGUGCACGCAUCGUACGUGCGAAAAGCUAAAACCUAAUUAAAGAACUAACUUUAACUUUGGCUUAACAAAGCGUCUCUGUUAUAUAUUUAGGACGACGAAAAGUAUAUUUGUUACACUGUCAGCAUAAACAUCACCUCAUCAAAAAUGCUUUGUAGUAUUAUGCAUUAAUCCAUAUUUUACUUAGUUUGCAAUUAUCAAGUGCACCAGAUGCGCUGUUUCAUUAAGUGGUACAAGGGCAGAUGCACCACCAUCAAUGGUGCUUCUGUUGGCAGACUCAAGUGUGCAUGCUGCAAGCAGUGUGGACAGAUUGGGACGUUUUGAGAUCGGCAAUUUAUACAUUUACCACUAUUCCCGGAUGAAGCCCUUGUCAAUGAAGAUGUAGAUGUAGAUGUGUUUAAUUGAAUUGUGACAAUGGAAACCAACUCUAGAUGUAAUUUACUCAGCACUAGUUUAACUUCAUCAACGUCUGUAAGUAAAAUAAGGUAAAAAUUUGAUAUUUUACAGGAGAAGAAGAAAAAAAUUGAAAAUUUUGUUGGUUAAGAUAUUAACAACUUAGUUAAUAACUUUACCUAAGAGGUGAAAGAGUGAUCUUGGAAAAUACUUUCGUGAAUACUACCUACUUUGUAUAUUUAAACAUUUUGUUCAUUAGAAAUUUACGUCGUUUGUCCUUGCAUGAAAGCCGCUUUGCUUCAGCACUAAGACCAAAACGGACCAUAAUAAAUGUCACGCGGUCUAAGCCGGAAAGAGGAUUUUGUCGACGCAAAACGGAGCACGGGGUCUUGAGACAGGUCAACACGCAAACCAACAACUCGCUUACCGCGGGGUUUGUAUAAAAAUUUAAUUUACAAAUUAAAAAAGGCCUCGUAAAUCAUUGUUAAUAGUUUAAUUUAAUAAGCUUUACAAAUUCACAGAGUGAAUAAAUAUCGUCGGAAAGCUUGACAAAAACAAACUUUAAUUCUUUCGGAAACGGAAGCAGCUUAGGAGCGGAAAUGUCUUUUUCCGCUUUCACCGGUGUCGUCGUGGAUGGUACCAACGAAAAAAAGCAGAGUUCUCCGAGUUUAAUCCGUCAUCUUGCGACAAAGUACCAAGAAGCAAAUACACACUUCCCAAAUGAAAUAUUGCACCCGCAAGUAAAAUAUUACACGAUUAAUUUUCAGUGUAGUUAAACAAAACUCGUAAAACCAAGGAACAAAAAGCGCUAAGUAGAAAACUUGUUCUAAGACAGUUUCGAUUACAUCAAAUAUUGAAAUAACCUGCCUAUAAGGUGAGUAUAGCAGGCGAAAGUGUAAUGUAACGAUAACGCGUUUUAGUUUUAUGAUACUCUGUCGAUGUGCAGGUAUAAAAUAUGAAAAUCGUUGUGUUCAUAUUCACUAUAUUCAACCAGGUCGUAAAAUUCUUUCGAGGCCAAUAUGAUGCUUGUGAGGUAUGGUACAAGAAAAAAAUUGAUUAAAUUCCGAUGAUAUUGCAUAUUUUACAUCGUUUUUCUUUAGUUUUCGGAGCGUAAUACUUCGCUAGCCAAGAGGUUGUUUAUUGCGUUCUUUGCAAUUUAUAAAAAUUGCUUACUACAGCUUUAAGUAUAAGUUUCAGCAUAAAAAUACUUUGGGAGAAGCAUUAACAAAGGUUUAAUUUAAAAUUAUAUAUAAUGACUAAUCAACUAUCGAUAAAAGAAAAGAAAAUUUAAUUUUUUCGGCUUUUGCGACUUUUUCCACGGUUUUGUGACACAAAAAGGGGUACUUUAAAUACGGACGGCUAAAACCGUGACUUAAAGUACUUUAGUCACGGGUUUUAGUCACGUGGUGGAUAAAAACUCCACUUUAGUCACUUGAUACUUAAUAUACUAUUUUUACAUUCAACGAAUUACGUUUUUACGUAAAAUCUUCUAUAAAAUAGUUUCGUUUCGUUAAAUUCAAAAGCUGCCGAAAUGCCUUUCGAGAUUAGUUGAGUAAAUGCAAUGGAAAAAAUAAAACGAAAAUCUUUUUCAACGUUUCAUCGAAAUAAAAUACACGCAACCCACGUACCCGAAAGUGGAUGGAAUUCUAAAAGCAACGAACGUUGUGGGCUGAUGCGUAUUGAGAAGCAUCGGGAGGAAAAUGGAGUGAAAGCUUGGCCCGACGGAAAGGAGCUUCGAAAAGACACGAAAUUGUCCAAAAUAAACGUGUUCCCGGCUCGUGUAUUCAUCCACGUCGUUUUCGGGAUAAACAAAGAGUUGUAAGGGCGGUCAAGGGCAUUAAAAAGACCGAAUUCGAUAAUGCCAUAAUGACCACCAUACGUUUUCCGGGAGAGUGUACUAAUAAAAAUGUCAAUAACAAUUUCUAUACGGAUUUAGAAUUCAGUAAAGUUCGCAUAGAAUAAUCCCGGGGAUAAAAAAUAUCAAAUUCUAUUCGUACGCGUAGAUAACUAAAUGAAAGUUAGGUGAUUCGGGUAUUCCGGUAUCACGCAAGUGGUAAAUGGGCCGUUAAGUAGAUUAUCAAUUUGUUUCCAACACGUCUGCGUUGGUAAACCGGCUGCUCUUCGUUGCAAAAUUUCCGAAUAUUCACACACCCGAAAGGGAAACCCAGAUAUCAUAUCGCGCGUGUUUCCGCCACCGUCCUAAUCAUGUAAUCGUGCAUUAAUCGUGCCUCAUCACUAUCAUUACCUCUAUUAUACGUUUUAUCAACUUAAACUGUUUAGAUAAGAUAAUUUCGUAAAUUAAAUUUUCAUUUGGAUAGAAAUUUCUAAACACUGAUGAAUCACGUUAAUCAACGGGCGAGCGAGGCGCCGAUUCGGUGAAAACUGUUAAUUAAUCAAUAUGCAAAUUCAAGCGUAUUGCGACGCUGAUUGGCAGUGUGAGUUUAAUUAAAGUCGGAAUGCGUAUACAUCAAAGCGCAUUCUGUUAAUAUUAUCGCAAAUUACCAAAUAGUUGAUAUUAGUUAAUUAAACCAAAAUCAAUAGAAAUUAAUUACGAGUUAUUAUUGAAUCAAUUCAAUUUUAUAUUUAAUGAAUAUUCCGGGUGAAUGUUAUUUAUUUGCGUUUAUGACGCACGUACAGGUACCAGCUGUGGUGGAGGCGCCGGUCAAAGGGCUAAUAGGACGUCACGCUCGCCGCGCUAAUUAAGCCUCGAACCUCGGCUCGCAAUGGCCUUACCUCGCUCGUUACGCCGCGUUUGUUUCUCGAACGCCGACGGCGUAUAUAACUACUUUAUGGCCGACGGGCUGGCUGAUCACAAAGGGCUUAUCUCAUGCGCGCCAUGAUGGCACCACGGCUAAUGUUGCAAUCAACGCAAUAGAGUUUCAUCACGUUCCGGCGUAUCGAACAUGGCAAACAAAUGAACACGAAAUGAAAUUCGAUUUAACUUUUUGACUCACCUACCGUCGUCGUCGGCAUCGUAAUACUUUGGUAACUUUGUUUGCUUACUUUGAGUUUUGUUUGUUUUGCGCCACUUUGGACACCUUUCACUUUUCGUUGAUUUUUAUAUAUAAGUUAUUUAACUUGUUGAGUAUAAUAAUACAUUGUCAUGUCGGCAGGUUGACGUUGACUUUUCAUUUCCUGCCGCAUGCGUUGUUCUCCCUGCGGACGCAAACUGCGUAAGUUUUUUUUCUUCCUCAGCGUUUGUGCUGUCAUACAUAAAUGUAUGGGAAAGCGUUUCGUGUUGCGUCCAGAGAAUAAAAAGACCAUGAAAUGUGAAAAUCAACGAUUUGACAUGAAAAAAAUGUCAAAAUUUUAUGCUAGGCAACCAGUUAUACAUUUUGACAUGACAUACGUUUACAAGUUUAGAACAAUGGAUGAAAUAUUCGCACAUCCGUUCGAAACACUAAAAGUGUAACAAAUCAUUUGCCGGCCAUCGACACAAGGGUUGUAUUUUUUAUGAUGUCCGAUAGUGCUACCCACUGCUAACCAUAUUUGAUUUUAUAAAGAUUGAUUGUUUCCCCAGGCAGCUGGGUGGGUAAUCGAUCCGAUGUGUUUGAUGACUGAUGCGUGGUUGAAUGAUAGAUAGAAUAGCAGGUGAUAACAUACCAAGUGAUGCAAUAAAUUUUAAAAUUUUUUAUUUUCGGUUGUCUUGUAGAAUAAAACGUUAAGUUGGUUGUUUUGCGUUGUCCAAACGUGAAAAAUGCUUGUUUACAAACCGCAGCCAAAGCGGGCCAUCGGAAUUGUUUGCACGCCGUGAAUGUUUUAUACACGGCUGGAGGCCAUGCCAGCGUCAAAAGCAAACCGCUCCGUCGACUCGUCAAAACUGCGGCGGCGGCGGCGUCGAGUGAGUUGUCGCGUUGAUGGCCGGUCGUUUCGCGGCGCACGUGUGUUCAGCGUUCGAGAGGCGAACAAUAGACUUCGAAAAGGUAGUGGCUUGUGCCAGCCGUGCGGAAAAACGUCGGUGAACGAAAUGUAAAAUGCGCUUUUUACGCUUUCAGGCGGCAAAAAAAGCGGCUGUCGUUUUGACCGGAAACCAAACAACCAACAACGAUAGUUUCCAUACAAAAAAUAUGGAAACGAAGUUGACGGUUGCUGUCGGCCAUUUUGAACGCAAAACAAACUACUUGAUCAAAUGCAUUCAUUAUUUGGCGUUCCAUUCGGCACAAGUUUUACAUUUGAGUGAAAUGCCUGAUGAAAGUGGGCGAAAAUUGCGGCGCAGUAUUGCGGGUGCUUUAAAGCUACCCCCACCCCUUUUAGCCGUCGAAGGCACAUUCUUUUAACUAUACCGGUACGCUCUAUUUGCAUUUUUAAAACGCUCAAUUGGAAUUCACAAAGAACGCGCGUCGACGAAAAAGUCGAGCGAUGAGGGAAGGAAAUGGAAAUUGAGCUCGGGCGCACAAAAAGCGUACGAAACAAAGCGCGUACAGAAUUUGUGAAAUUGAAUUGCAUCGCGCGUUUUUACACCGCACGCAUUGAAUUAAACUCAUUUCUUAAGAUUUUUUGAAAAUGUUAAAAAUCAUUUUUUUAUUCCUUGAUUCACAUUUUUAAAGUUAACAAUGGACAUUUCGGGUUUUCGGUAUUUGCAUGCCAUGGCGAUUCGUUAUGUCAAAGUUGAAUAAGUUGAAUAUUUCGCCAACGAAGGUUCGCCGGGUGCGCUUUGUUCGCGCCGACUGAAAUAUGCCAUUAUCUUGCACUGGUUGCCCGCUGAGAGGAGCGCAAGGUACACACACAGCAUCCCUACCCCAUCCUCUCACCAUUCAGCUUGCGCUUUGUGAUCAGAUCCGGGUUUUCAAGUGUAUUUUUAAAAAAGAGUUGAAAUUUUUCCGGAUUAAGAGACGCCUCUGAAGUGUGCUCGCGGUGGAUCGGUAUCAAAAUUCGGCCAAGUGUCGAAAACGAAGACCACGACAGGCGGAAAACCGAGCGGCGCGCACAAUUUAUGCUCAUGCGAAAUACGAAUAUCGGAAGCCUUUGUAUGCGCCAAUUCUAUGACUAUGUGGAGCCCCCCGGGGUGGCAGUGCAAGUGCACGGCGGUUUGGAAACACGCCGUUUGCAUCUGACGGCUGAACUAUCGAAUCAGAAAGAAAAAAAUAGAAAAUUUUUGCGCUCGGCAAACAUGCUGGUAUCCUGAAUCUAUAUAGCAUUGUGGAAUACGAAUCCGAGAGUCUGAUAGUCACCGAGGCGGAGUUAGUGGCGUGCCGCUCGCGUACAGAGACGAAUAGAAGACGAUAAGGAAUUCAUUAUUCCGUCGCUUUUCUUAAGUUCUUUUCCUUCAGCAGAGCUUUCUGUAUGACGGCUAAAACCUUCUAUUGAAUAAAAAUGCUACGCGUUUAUAUCUGUACGUAAUGACAGAGGCACACAUUCAGAUAAUGCGAUGUUCUUUCGGGAUUUAAUAGGAU